UGGUUGUUUUAUUGAUAAGCGCAGGUUUAAAAAGGAACUGAUAUUUACAGCCUCUGUCAUAAACUUCACCUCCAGCUGAUAUUGACUUCCUUCAGACAAACAGCCACAUCGACAGACCAGAGCAGACAAGAUGAAGAUCGCUGUCAUGUUCACACUCACUCUGGUUCAGAUCCUGGGUAGAGUAGAAGCUAACAAUCCUCAACCGUGUCAGAAAAACCCUGACAACAAUGCAUACAACAAAUUUGUUCGCAAACACAUUCUUCAGGAGUCCUUUGACACUGGAUCAAAGACGUCAUGGGAAAACUACUUGGCAAAGUAUCGACUCUGCGACAGACCACGUCAGUCCUUAAUGAAGAAAACUGAUCAGAACCUUGUUGACCAGACCUGUAAUGGCAAGGGCAGGCGUUUGUCAACUAACUUGUGCACCAGUACCUCAAACAUGUUGGUGUAUGAUCUUACAGUUAACACCGCCAACUGCAGAGUUACAAAUCUCCAGCAAGGAAGCAGAUUUGUGGUUUUGGCCUGUGACAAAGUUGCCAACCGCUGUCUUCCUGUUCAUUAUGAAAAAAGUGUCAACCAACCACCAAGCAGCGGUGAUAUGUGCCAACCUUAGCUCUGUAAAGCUUAAUUAAGUCAUUACUUUCUGCUUGCAAAAGAAAAUUUCAUAAAACAAAUAUAAUGAAAUGCUGUUUUGUAGUUUGGCAACAUGAAACUUUUUGUUUCACAUCUUUCAAACUGGUCCAGUAACAUUCAGUCAGGUGACCAUAACGAAUCACCAUGUACCAUUCAUGACCGAUAAAAUGCUUCUAAUUAUGUUAAGGAUAGAUAAAUGUGGAGGGAUUAUUCACUCUGUGUGGUUUUGUUUUACAGCUAAAGCUUCUUUGCAACCAUGUAAAAAAAAAAAAAAUGCUGUGAUUCUUGUAUUUGGAAACUAUUCUUCUUAAAUUUGCAUAUAC